GGCCCGCUAGCUCAAUUGGCAGAGCAGCAGACUCUUAAUCUGCGGGUUGUAGGUUCGAUUCCUACGCGGGUCA
rnacentral:tRNA from 1 species